rnacentral:rRNA from 1 species
UCCUACGGGACGCAGCAGUGGGGAAUAUUGCACAAUGGGGGAAACCCUGAUGCAGCAACGCCGCGUGAGUGAAGAAGUAUUUCGGUAUGUAAAGCUCUAUCAGCAGGGAAGAAAAUGACGGUACCUGAGUAAGAAGCCCCGGCUAACUACGUGCCAGCAGCCGCGGUAAUACGUAGGGGGCAAGCGUUAUCCGGAUUUACUGGGUGUAAAGGGAGCGUAGACGGCGAUGCAAGUCUGAAGUGAAAGCCCGGGGCUCAACCCCUGGACUGCUUUGGAAACUG